UAAUAAGUGUUUUUACGGCACUUUUUAAAUCCAUAUCCACCUUGUGUGCAAUGUCAGUCGAUCUUCUUCAUGGAGAUCGACCAAACAUCAACCUUUAUCUUUUAACUCUUUGUCUGAAAAAUAUUAUGAAUAAACAAUUCAAAAUA
rnacentral:misc_RNA from 1 species